UACGAAGGGGACUAGCGUUGUUCGGAAUCACUGGGCGUAAAGCGCACGUAGGCGGAUGUGUCAGUCAGGGGUGAAAUCCCGGGGCUCAACCUCGGAACUGCCUUUGAUACAGCACGUCUCGAGUCCGGAAGAGGUGGGUGGAAUUCCUAGUGUAGAGGUGAAAUUCGUAGAUAUUAGGAAGAACACCGGUGGCGAAGGCGGCCCACUGGUCCGGUACUGACGCUGAGGUGCGGAAGCGUGGGGAGCAAACAGG
rnacentral:rRNA from 1 species